ACAUACAUCAACCAAAAAAAAAAAAAAAAAAAAAAAAAAAACCUAUCUGAGAAGAGUUUGGAUCCAUAGGUCU
rnacentral:ribozyme from 1 species